AAAAGCAGUUUACACUUACACUACAGAAAGCUACCUUCCUUCUUCUCUAAAACUUCAUUUUGCAGCUGAAUUUAUCUUCAACAAAAUCUCAGAAGAAUGAGGGUUUCUGAAAUAGCUCUAUUUUGUAGAGCAAUUACUUCUAAAUCUUCUCAUGAAUACAGUAUUUUCACUUCUUCUUUCUCUCUCUUUCGUUCAAAUUUUCACAAAAAGAGGCCAUUUUCAACUCUGCGCACAACAGAUUUGAGUUGUAUAAAUGAAGUAGAUGAUGCAGUUUUCUUGUUUCGGC
rnacentral:lncRNA from 1 species